AAGUCGUAACAAGGUAACCGUAGGUGAACCUGCGGUUGGAUCAUUACCAAAUAUCCAACGGGCCCGCUCGCAAGAGCGAGCUCUACCCACCUCUUGUGCAACGUAACGUUUUUGGCGGGAGCCUAGCAAUUUAAGCAGCUUGCUGCUUAAUAAGCAAAGGCCUUGCGGGGAGCUUUCAUUAGCUUUCUGACCGUCAAUAUAUCACACACACCAUACCCUACUCAACAACACCUGACGCUAACAUGUUAACGAGUGAGCUUACACUCACCUCAAUGACUAGAAUAACGAAAAACAACUUUUGACAACGGAUCUCUUGGCUCUC
rnacentral:misc_RNA from 1 species